GAAGAUGCUGAAGAAAACUUUGCUGCCAUCUCCUCCCAAAAACCAAUUUGCCGUGAAUCAAACAAGAGGUCUGAUACCUGCGAUGCAUGAGGACAUAUAAAAGUGCAGGGCAACUCCAGCCCUUUUUUCAUGAUGCUGGGGCUGGAUGUAGCAGAAUUUGCAAGGAAGAAUCUGGUGAGAUGCAGUCAUGCAAAAUCAGAAGAAAAAAUGAGUUUGAGAUAUUCUCAAGCCACAGUUAAGAAGAUAUUGGAGCUUAAAUUUUCAAGCGAAGAAGGCAGUUGUUGUUUUGUCAAACAUAUUACUCAAAGCAACAUUAUCAAAGUUCCCUUUAUGGUCAUCCUUAUAAAAUUUGUGAAGGAACACAUUUGACAGAAACCAUAUGAAAUUACUGUGUUUUGCAAGAGGAGAUAUAAGAGUGCAGGGCAGCUCCAGCACUGUUUUCGUAAGUUCAUCGCCACAAGAAUGGAAAAUCAAAACUUAUGCUCGAAAAGGCUAUCACAGCGCUCUCUGCCAUGUAACUAGCUGAUUACAAUUAUGUUUUAGCUGAUUAGAGUUUGUAUGAUUGUAUCUGCUUUAUUAAUGAGUGAAGCUGACAAUUUUCA